rnacentral:lncRNA from 1 species
UCUACAUAUAAUUCUAGCAACUGAGUUUAUCAGGAAAAGAAAAAUUCUAACUACAGAUUUGUGUACAAGUAGCAUAUCAAUCAUCUUUAUAUUCUCCUCCUUCACCUGUUAUAUUUGUCAAUAUGGCUCAUAAAAUGUUGAGUGUUCAUUAGCUUACACUUGAUUUGAAGCUGUAAAGUAAUAGUGAGCAUCCCACUUUGAAUAUACCUAGUUGCACUUGAGUAAAUAAACCAUAGAAGGUUGGGGGUAAGGCCGUGGUCCCAUCUUAGGAACUCGAUGCUGUGGUUCCUUGAAGGGAUCUUAGAGGGAGUUGAGUUUAGAGAACUAG